UCGAAUAUGGUGUAAUGGCUAACAUUAUCGCCUCUCAUUGAACACAUCGUUCGCGGUAGCUCGGGGUUCGAUUCCCCGUAUCCGAA
rnacentral:tRNA from 1 species